rnacentral:lncRNA from 1 species
CGAUGUCAAUGCCGGGCAUCACUAGACCAUUGGUGACUCCAUAGGUACGCUGCGAGUGACCCAAGUAGGACGUCCGUCUCAAAUAGAGCAGGUUCUAUUGGCAGGAGAUGAUUUUCGCCUCAAGAAUGAGGAGAAAAUGGAAUGCUGCAAGUCAAGGUGAACAAUAGCCUGCGGCUCACUGAUCACCAUCCAUUAAUAACCCAGUAUCUUGGAACCUCUGUUCAAGCACUGGUUCAGCUAGGCGGGUUCAUUACUCCAAAGUCCACCCAGGACAAUUCUCGGACAAUUGCUCGGUUGGAGCUUGUCUAAGUUUGUCGUCUGUGCUACUGCAAUGGCAUCAGACAGUAGUAAUCAUAUCCUGGUGUCCCGGAUCGACAUCUGGGACCUGCGUUUGGAUCAAUGAGGCAGGGGUGAAGUUGAUCGGUCCAUCGCUAUCGACGCUUGAGGUUGUGGAAACCGAUCUCAAAGUUCUAAUGACCCGCCACAAGUUGCCUUCUAAGCCCUACGCAGGAACUAAAGUGCCGCCCAGAAUAUGAUGUAUGAUCCAUGAGCUUUGACGCUUUCCAGCUACUGUUGACUUACUGAGUCUAAUACCUACGCUAGAGAGAGCCUGCUCUGGGACGACAUUCUUUGUUGUGCAGCCGGGACUUCGUAGUGUCAUUGUAGGCACCCAGUGUCCAUGAUUAGCCUCGAGACUCAGAGGUAUAGUCAGUACAUGGAUCACUUUCCAAUGUAUGCACAUGCGUAUCAACGAUCAGAUACAGCGUCGUCUCUGUACCGACGAGUCAUGUUUGAACAAGUGGGCCGUCUGGCUAUGGAAUGAGCGGGGACUGAUCUGAACCGUGCAUUUUCCCACUUCAGGUUAAGAGUCGAAUUGAUAGCGUACAAGUUUGAAAGUGUGGAUCAGAUGAAUGCGCAGUUAUCAUGUACAAACUAGAUUAGUUAACUAGCAUUCACGGCAAUCGGAUCUACGCACGGUCAUCGGCCGUGCGUGAAAAGUAGGUAGGUAGUAAGCAUCUUAAAGAGCCAGGAUGACUUACUGAUCCUUGACCAUUCCAUUUUGGCAGAGAUCUCACGAUAGCCCGACAGCGCUACGGAGAUAGAUUAGUGAAGGUUUUGAGUUUGCAGCCAUCGACGAGAUGGAGACUGCAAUUCCAAAUACACCCCCGCAUUUUCAUCUACAUCUAAUGCUUGUAUGCUUCCAGGGAAUCUCAAUAAAGCACGCCGUCCGUGCAAGCCGGAGUCUAGGCGGUUGGUCGAUAAGUACGACGGGGAUGUGCCCUGUCUCAACAAUGGCUUUCUUUCCGGGUGUAACAGGACAGCGGGCGCGGACGCAGAGGGACACGGGAGGAUUGGGAUAGGUAACGAAAAGAGCAUCUUGGAUUGAUCAUGGACAGGGAAUAUGGAAGAUGUGGAAUGUUGAGAGUCUGAGCUUCUGUGGGGGAAACAACGGGAAGGAGCAGCCUGGGCUGACUUGGCGGUCUCCGUAAGGACCCAUACCGGGUGAUGUAUCGUAAUUUCAUGCGGCAGUAGCGCGCUCUCGGGGUUUACUUACUAAUAAAGUGGGCACCGUUAAAUAACGGCGUAAUGGCAGUGACGGUAACUUUACUCAGGUUUACUCCGUAAUGUAACUACAAGAGUCCGCUAUGGUCUCAGACGUAUUCGCUGUUCUUGAUCUUCUCACAUUCUCCCCUUUUGGCUGCAUCGUCGUCAAUGGAGCUUGCUGGCUCCAAGCAACCUCCAGCUUCUGGCCAACGCACGGCCCAGGAAUAUUGUCCAAUGUCCAUCUUUGCAAGCGGAUGCUUGUAUCAUUUUUGACUCCGUCGUGAACGCCCACUGCAUGCGCCAUCUCGAUGUCGUACAUAUCGCAGACGUCCUUUAUUCGUCCGUACACCCCAUAUACGUACAUACAUAUACAUGUCGUGGAAUGUGGCGCAAAGAAAAAGCAACUUCCCACUGCAGCCUCGAGACAUUUCUGUAAAACCGUCGUACCCGUUGCACCAGCCAUGGCAGUCUCGAACUUGAACCUGGACUCGAACGGCCUGCAUGGAUGUUACAUGUGUUCCGUUGUACUCAGCCGCAGCUCGCUUAAGGCUAUACGACUGAUACCUAUCGCUUGAUGAGUAUGCAUCAUACGGAUCAGUUACUUGUUGUCUUGUUGUCUCCACAGCUUUGGGGUUACUGUCUUGACUCGACUCAGUAGCUAAGUGAGUGCUCGUCGACGAGCCCGGCUAUUUUUGACUACUAUGUGCUAGUGACAUUUUUAUCCGUGAUACGUAGGGUUUUCAUCCUGACUCGCUUACGGUAUUGUAUUGGUUGGAAAUAUUGACAUUCUGAUCACGCCGUGUUCAUUGGGCGCGGCCAUUUUCCCGCUCGCUCGAGGUGGAACCCUAACCGGCAAUCCAGGCCAACGGCUUCUCCCCGGUUUAUUUUCUGUGUCACCAUCCUUUUGUGAUCUAUCGACUGCAUGUCUGAUAUUUAGGGAAUUACCUAACGCCAACAACGCCAUACACGCAGGAAUGCAAAGCCACGAAUUCUCGGCCGUCGUCGAUCAUUGGACAGUAAUUUUAUCCAUCAAAUAUGCUGCCCACAGCCCAUCAGUCUGGUGUCCAAGCGUUGACGUAGGCUGGCAUCUCUCUACAGUACGCAGCACUGGCAUUGUUUGCAAGUGAGAUCUAUGCAAUAGUGUCUAACACGGAUCUGGUUAGCACUGCCAAUGCUAUGUCAGUUCUAAAUUGAGACUGGGCAGUUCGCGGAAAGGAGACUGGCUUCCGGGAUUCCUAUUCGAGUGGAGUAUGUGCGUGCUACUUAGCAUAACACGUCUCAUUACUGUACCACUAUAUGUCAUGAAACAUGUUCUAUGCCGUCUGAUAGCAGUAUAAUGAGGAUUGCCGACUACAGCCCGAUCGGAAGCACCACUGCCGUUAUUCAUAGCCGCCAUUGUCUUCUUUGAUAUGCAUGAUAAGGAUGGCCAGGAACGGUCUUUCCUCGUUCAUUUUCAUCUCGUGGCCUUGAUAUCUUGAACUUAGCCGAACCAUUUACGAACAGUACUUACCACAAUGGUCGAACAGAGAUUAUCAAUGCCUCGAUUUCCACCCCACAUUCCAAUAAACAUCACUGUCAGAUUUCACAGACGGGCCGACCUAUCCGACCCAAACUUUCGAGCAAAAGGCGGGACGAAUGCCAUGGAUGUCCCGGGCAGACGGAGGUUGUCUGAGACUCGACGCUGUGCUAUUUCCCAGUUGGGCAGUCGCUACUGCUUGGUCUGCUUGGCCAGUCCACUUUUAUUUGGGUAAUGCAUAUCAUAUGCAUAUGCAAGCCUAGGCUAUAACCGUGCUAGUGUUGCUGUCUCCAUUGUCAUCCAUAGGAAGUACGUACUAAUCUAGUAGUUGCAAAGACUAACGAUGUCUAGAACCUGAUCGAGGCAGAUCCUAUUUCCCAGCUAAUGAGAGCACAAGUUUGAACUUUGAAGUGUAUACUAGCCGCAAAGCUAACAGUGUGGAAGUCUCUUCUACGACUCCGGAUUGUCGAAGCACAUCCCAACAAACUCAGGUCCGCCUGGAUGGAAUACAAUCGAUCAUGAAGUACGCGGCGCUCAAACAGUUGGCAUUCCAUCUAAGACUGGCUCGAUACUAGUCUAUGGUGUCAUCGCCCAGUAGGAUUGUGUUUAGCCCCUCUUGAUUGGUGUCAUCGUUAUCUCCAGGGCCAGACUCCAUCCAUCUAGAGGCGCGAACAUGCAUCCUUAUCCGCCCUCUUGGAACACUAAGAACAAAAUAGCAGGACAUGGGGACAUAUCUAAACUAUAACUUGAGGACCAAUGAGGACUCAACGGAAAGUAUUCUCAGCCGAUCGCUCGUGAGCGAAAAGCUGAUGAAUCGCCUUCUGAAGAAACUGGAAUUCCAUGCUAUGGAUGGUAUUGCUAGCUGCAUUCAGUUGAGGACAGUCCUACAAUGAUUCGUUUGGUACCAUUGUCGGAAAUCCUCCAAAAUCUUUCCGGCUCGCCAAGUGCUUUUUGUUCUUAUACUCAAUUUGAUCUUCUCAAAAGACACCAAUAUUGAAUUUCAAGUGCUAGUACCCCAUAAAAAAAACAAUUACUUUGACUUUAUACCCCGCAUAAAGAUCGCGAUCGAAUCCAUUUUACAACCUUUGUGAUCCUCCUGGUUCAUGUUCAUUGAUGAUCAUAGCAAAUAAUCCGCAGCAAGGGAUGGAUUAUCUUCUCUACAAAAGGGUCUCGAUCCUCCUAUAUGGGCCCCCAGCUGCGCCAAGAGGGCUUUCUGGUCGUUCCAGUGAAAUAUGCCUGUGCUCAAUGGCCAAGGAGAGAUCUCGAUGAUAUCAUCGCAAGGUACAAAGCAAUAGCACCAAGGCUGCACGAGGAUCUAGACUGUCUUGGUAUUGAGACGAUCCUGGCCUCGUCUCUGUUGUUCUUGAUAGCCUUGCGGUAUCGCCACCAGAUCACUGUGAGGGUGCUCAUCACCCGUGUACUUUCAUGGAGCUAUUGAGAACGUGUAGCUGGUUCGUGUCAGGGUUUGCCCUGGAUUGUUAAGUCACGAAGUCAUGAUUGUAUACGAUCAGCCACACCAUAUUUUGCCUUUCAGAUAGUGGCUUGUCCAUACCUACCAGCUCUUGAGCCUUUAUCAUGGUUCCACUCGCCUCCCCGCUAGGGCUGAGCACGAAAUUCACCAACUCUAUCCAUCAAUAGUACAUUCCUAUCCUCUCACGAGUCACGACUUAUAAGAAUACUCUCCACAAGCAAGAGCCAAGUCAUGAUGUAACUAUUGGAACUCUAUCACCUUUCCUUCCAGGAUCUCCGGAGCCUAAACAAACUUUAUCCCAAGACUAUGUAUUGAGCAGUCUACGUACCUGAACGGCCAUGCCCGAGAACAAACCGAAGUCGAACCGAAGCAAUAACCCAUAUCCUAAAAUCCAAAAAAAAAAAAAAAAAAAAAAAAAAACCGAAGAUCCAAUUCUCGCUUGCAUAUAUGUCGAUCACUGUUAAGGUCUCAUUGGGAAAUAUGUGGAGUACGUAGUAGGUUUCUGAUUCUUGGGUAAUUCGAAACACAUAUACGUACGCAUAUCAAACCCAUACGAAUGAAAUUUGCGCCAGAGAAAGUUUCCACUCAAUCACAGGUCUCUGGUAGAUAUUUCCAUCGAGACCAGGCACGGCACCCUCGAUGUGAUCCACUUGUUCAUGUAGUGAAUAGCUAUGACUCGCAUACUGAUCUUAAAUAUAUGUAUGCAUGCAAUAGUAAUUGAAACAAUAAAAUAUCUCGAGGUUCCACAUUUCAGGCUACGUACCUAGACUUAAUCAGGAAGCUCAAAGCUUGACGUUUUGAUUUGAUCGGCUUUAUCUGCAUACUAUAUAUCGAUAAUCAUUUGUUGCUAUAUAUGCUUAGAUUGAAGCGUAACAUCGCCACCGAGAUCUGAGAUGAUCGAACUCGACCCACCUCUUGAAGGCAUACGUCUGAAAUGAGGAUAAUCCAUCGUGACAUAUGUGCCACUACUACCGUAGUAGUUCCUCCCCGAUCCAACUUCAUGCAUUUAGUGCAUUUCAUGAAAAUCAAACUACAUGGCCACAGCAGAUAGGGAAAAAAAGUGUACAAGACUUAAUUUUCGGUUCAAGUUGCCAAUCUCAUUUACUCAUCUAUUGCAUCAUGUCGUGAACCUGGGCCUUUGUUAAGAGCCCCCCUUGCUUUUUGAUCGGUUAUAGAGAGCGUACUACGUAGUGCAAAGACAAUAAAUAAUAGACAGUAUAGUUUAUACUUUUAAGUUGUUAGGAAUCAACUAUUGAGAAGCUACUAUAGGUGUUAAGGCAAGUUGAAAGGCAUAUGCUAUUACUUACCUAGGGUAGGUGAUGGCAUUGAUUGAUGCGGUAUUAGAUCAGUUAGAAAAAAACAUAGGGUUCAGCUAGUCUGCUAAUACUUGGAAAUGAACUUUUCGAUAUUGAUGGGCGUGUACUGACUGCUCCAGCUCCUCUGUACCGUAUGAAUCAAUAUCGAAGUCGGAAAUAUGACUGGGACAUGAUCUCGACCUUCAAACACCAUAAGUCUCUCCAUUGGUUAUCCUUAUUGUAAAGAAUGCACCUAGAUAGACAGUCUAUUCAAAAUAAAUAUCUAUGGUAGGUUUAACUUAGAUACAGUGUGUGGUGUUGACAUCCCUUGACAAUAAUAUCCGGUUACGUAGAUAGUGAGCUUUAUACCUAGGUAUAUAUAUAUCUCUGGACUUAGGUAUUGGGUGAUUAAUUCUCCUCGAGAGGUUCCAUGGUUAAUCUAAGAUAAUUGAUUGCUAGUCUCAACCUCCAACCUGGAAUUCAUGAUGAUUUUGCAACUAUUUAAUAUUGAAAGAUUGUAACUCAGGUGUCUAAAGUUCGAAGCUCAAAUACAAAACAUCGCGUUCCGGAUUUU